UCUUAGCCCAGAUGGAAACGGCAUCCUGUUAUACCGGGGUUCGUGAUAACAGAUAUAGUGUACAGCUGGAAUUGCU
rnacentral:sRNA from 1 species